UACGUAGGUGGCAAGCGUUGUCCGGAAUUAUUGGGCGUAAAGCGCGCGCAGGUGGUUUCUUAAGUCUGAUGUGAAAGCCCACGGCUCAACCGUGGAGGGUCAUUGGAAACUGGGGAACUUGAGUGCAGAAGAGGAAAGUGGAAUUCCAAGUGUAGCGGUGAAAUGCGUAGAGAUUUGGAGGAACACCAGUGGCGAAGGCGGCUCACUGGACCGGUACUGACGCUGAUGCGCGAAAGCGUGGGGAGCAAACGGG
rnacentral:rRNA from 1 species